AAACAAUUCACUAAGAGAAAAGAUUACAAGGUGAUUACCGACUCCACGGACUCAAUCUCUCUUAACCUCCUAUGAAUCUUCGCGCUACCCUCUGGGUUGUCCACGCCCUCACGUCCGAAUCCACGAACGCCUCCACUUCGAAUCCACGAAGCUUCAAUCACGCCGAAUCCACAACGCCACUCGAAUCCACAAGCCCACGAUCCGAAUCCACGACGCCAUCAUGAAGAAUAUCAUGAAUAUGGCGAUCCUUCGCUUUGGAGUAUCGUAGAAAACCAGGGAAUAUAACUCCAAGCGAAGCGGAGAUCAAAUCGACAUAU
rnacentral:lncRNA from 1 species